GACGAACGCUGGCGGCGUGCUUAACACAUGCAAGUCGAGCGGAGCGGCGAACGGGUGAGUAACGCGUGAGUAACUGCCCCCCUCUCUGGGAUAACAGUUGGAAACGGCUGCUAAUACCGGUUAGUGGGGGUUGACUCGCGUCUUAGCAGCUGUUUGGUGGUGUAUUGGCGUACCAAGGCGACGACGGGUAGCCGGCCUGUGAGGGCGACCGGACACAGUGGGCUGGGAUACGGGCAGAACGCCAACGGGGGGCAGCAGUGGGGAAUAGUGCACACUGGGGGAAACCAUGAUGAAGGAACGCCGCGUGCGGGAUGACGGCCUUCGGGUUGUAAACCGCGUUCAGCCAUGAAGCGGUAGUGGCAGAAGAAGCACCGGCUAACUACGUGCCAGCAGCCGCGGUAAUAC
rnacentral:rRNA from 1 species